AAUUCCCUAGGGCUUUUAUGAGGAUCGAAGCUAAUGUACACAUGGUGCCAAACAGAGAGCCUGAUGCAAGGCAGCGGCCUUCCAUCAAUAAUAGCCGUCAUCAUCAUCAUCGUCGUCAUCCCCAGAGUUAUCUUGCUGUCCUAGGCUCUGUUGUCAUGCAGCAUCUGUUUCUUCUCUAAUGACAACUCUGGGAAAUAGUUAACACUAUUGACAUAACCACUUCUCAGCUGAGCAAGCUGAGGCUGGGAUGUUGUCAAACGACUCUGCCGUAGUCACACUGCUAAUACUCAUUAACAGGGGAUGUGCACGCCCAGGUCUGUCCCACGACAGUCCUACUUUGGCAAGUGAAAGAGAAAAUUAGAGAGUAUCGAGACAGUGACUCCAUGGAGAUGCUUCCCUUCAUGGAGUUAAGGCCUCCUUGCACGUGCCAGGGAGUGCUCACCUAAUUUUUGGGCUUUGAACUUCUGUGACCUGAUUUAAUCUUAACUCUGCCAUCUAUGGGCUGUCUGUUC